rnacentral:rRNA from 1 species
AUUGAACGCUGGCGGCAUGCCUUACACAUGCAAGUCGAACGGCAGCACGGGUGCUUGCACCUGGUGGCGAGUGGCGAACGGGUGAGUAAUACAUCGGAACGUACCUUAUCGUGGGGGAUAACGCAGCGAAAGCUGUGCUAAUACCGCAUACGCCCUGAGGGGGAAAGCGGGGGAUCGCAAGACCUCGCGCGAUUAGAGCGGCCGAUGCCUGAUUAGCUAGUUGGUGGGGUAAAAGCCCACCAAGGCGACGAUCAGUAGCUGGUCUGAGAGGACGAUCAGCCACACUGGGACUGAGACACGGCCCAGACUCCUACGGGAGGCAGCAGUGGGGAAUUUUGGACAAUGGGGGCAACCCUGAUCCAGCAAUGCCGCGUGAGUGAAGAAGGCCUUCGGGUUGUAAAGCUCUUUUGUCAGGGAAGAAACACCGGCUCUAACACAGUCCGGGAAUGACGGUACCAGAAGAAGAAGCACCGGCUAACUACGUGCCAGCAGCCGCCGUAA